AACGAACGCUGGCGGCAUGCCUAACACAUGCAAGUCGAACGAAGGCUUCGGCCUUAGUGGCGCACGGGUGAGUAACGCGUGGGAAACUGCCUAUUGGUGGGGAAUAACGACGGGAAACUGUCGCUAAUACCGCAUAAGCCCUCCGGGGGAAAGAUUUAUCGCCGAUAGAUGUGCCCGCGUCCGAUUAGCUAGUUGGUGAGGUAAUGGCUCACCAAGGCGACGAUCGGUAGCUGGUCUGGGAGGAUGAUCAGCCACACUGGGACUGAGACACGGCCCAGACUCCUACGGGAGGCAGCAGUGGGGAAUAUUGGACAAUGGGCGAAAGCCUGAUCCAGCAAUGCCGCGUGAGUGAUGAAGGCCUUAGGGUUGUAAAGCUCUUUCGGGUGGGACGAUGAUGACGGUACCACCAGAAGAAGCCCCGGCUAACUUCGUGCCAGCCGCCGCAGUAA
rnacentral:rRNA from 1 species